rnacentral:rRNA from 1 species
UGGUGGAGUGAUUUGUCUGGUUAAUUCCGUUAACGAACGAGACCUCCGCCUGCUAAAUAGUUGAAUUUAUCGAUUUGAUAGGUUUCGACUUCUUAGGGGGACGUUUUGGUCGAUUAGCCAAAGGAAGUUGGAGGCAAUAACA